AUAUUUUGUUGUUUAUUCAACUGUGUUUUCCUGCUUCACAUACUGUGUGAAUAAAUUUGGUGGUAAAUUUUUAAGUGGUAUUACCUGCAAUAAAAAUUUCAUAUAAGAAACUAGAAAUGUGAAUAAUUUGAUACUGGAUAGUUGUUUUUCUUAGUGUGUUUCCAUUUGAUGCUGUUUUAUCACUUUGAAAAUGUUCAUGGUAAAAACUGUUGGAUUUCAAAAUGAGUCCUGAAAUUGUGGAAAGAACUUUGGCAUGGAUGUUAAAGAACACAACUUUUGACUCUGCUUACCUUUAAUCUGACUUCAGAGAAGUCACAGUUUGGCCACAUCAUCCUUUCUGUAAAAUGAGGAUUUUGGACUUUUAAAAGUUCCUUUCAACUCUAAAAUUUCCAUAAAAGCACUUACUUCUAGUCUAAUCCCCCCAUCUUAUUUCAUUGCUCAACUAUUCUCUAUUAUCAAUACUCUCCUUUCCUAUGCCAGCUGAUUUCUAAAUAAAUCUGAACUCUUUGCUUUUUUGUUACAAAAUCCUUCAUGGUAUGGUGGUCCAUGACAUCAUCUUAAGUAAUUGUCCCUCUUCUUUAUUGUGGUACGUGAUAGGCACAUUGACCUUCUUUUGGCUUUUGGCAAAAGUAAAGUGUAUUCCUAGCCUUAAAACCUUUUGUGUUAGCUGUACCCUGAUCUUUCCUGACUUGUUGUCAAUAAGAAUUGAGCAUAAAUGUCAGGUUUCUUUUUUCCCCCUCUGUGAUAGCACUUAUUAUCUAGUGCUUUUCCUGUCUAAUUUUCUGUAUGUCCCCAGGAGAACCUAACAUACAUAAAAUAAGAACCUUGUCUUUAUUAUUCAAUGUUAAAACCCUCUUAAUACUGACACAAGGUAGACUUCCAGGACCUGUUGAAUAUAUACAGUAAAAACGGCUUUUUGUCAGGUUUUGGAGUUUUCUGAUUUUAAAUGAAAGAAGUGAUUGGUAUGCUAAAAAUAACAUGCCAGGUUGAAGUUAGAGGCUUGCUGCAAGUUUAAGAUAGCCUAGGCUACAUUCAAAGCCAGCCUAAAAUUACAUAAAAGACCAUGUCUCCAAAAAAAAAAAAAAAAGAAAAACAUUACUUAUAUAAACUAAUCUGCAGAUAGGAUUACAUAUAUUAAAUUGAAUUAAUGGGAAAGAAAGCUUUUGAUAUUUCAUGUUUUCUCUUUCCAGUACAGUUGUCUUUAAAGCUUGUACCUUUUUUAUAUUUCUAUACAUAUUUUUGGUUGCAAAUAUAGAAUCACUUCUGAGUACUAUAGGCAAAAUGAGAGUUCGUUGGAAGAUGAUUGGGCAAUGUAAACAUGAAGUUUUAAAGUACCUCAUGUGAAAGAUGAGCACUGAUUGGUUCUUGGCCUGUCUAAGAAUUUAGUCAGCAAGAUUUUGUGGCCAUUGUCAUAGACCCAAUAUUUACAUACUUUGGUAUUAAUCAAUGCCUCCGAGACUUUAAAUUUUCAGAUUCUUGAAGAAAAUAUGUUUUGGGCUAUUAUGUUAUGACUAUGGAGGCAGUUGUGGUUACCUGUUAUAAUCGAUAAGGGCCCACAAUAGCCUCACCCUUGUUCUUGGAAUUAUUUAUAGAGAUAGGAAAUUGUGAUUGGAGCAGCUGUACCAGUUGGAAUCUGUACUGGUUUUUUCAGUGUCUUCUACCCAUCUGCUUAUAAGCAGUAGUCAUUAACAUGAGCUGUGCAAGAUUAUGAAACCUUAUAAUAGAAUAUACCUGCAGGUCUGUGUGGUUCUGCUUCUUAAAGGGAAAAUCCCACUCAUGCAAUGUAUUUAUAUUAUUUAAGAAAAUAUUUUAUAGUCUUCUAAAUCAGUGAAUCCAUAGCAUAUCCUUCCAUCCUAUUCCUUCUUUACUAGUUCUGAUUUAUUGCUUGGUAAGUUUUUUUGUCUUGGUAAGUGUUGGAGUGAAAGAUUAUUUUCAGUGUUAAUGUGUAAAUGUUCAAAUCUGCCUUGACGCUAGCUAAGUCAGAGACGGGGGUGGGGGGGCUGAAAUUCCAUCAAUCUGACCCACCCACUCCUUUGGUGCUAGGGAUUGAACCUAGGAGCUUGCACUUGCUAGGCAAGUGUUCUUAUCACUGAAUUAUACACUUAGCCCUAAUCUGCCCAUUUAUAUCAUUGUAGGUGAUUUUGAUAUAUGCUGAAGUUUGAGAAUUGCUUCUGUAAUUUUGCUUUUAUUAUCAAAAUGAACUAGGCUAACAUCUAGGUCAGGAGUGGCAAAUCUAUGGCACAUGUGUUCUUUUAGGAGAAAGUAUGUUGACUCAUAAGUUUUUCCUAAACUAGAACCUCAGUGUUCAGGUUUAAUUGCAGUGUUGGUAUUUUGUGGUAGGUAAGUGGAGAUUUGAGUUACAAUUUGGGCAUUCUUUAAAAAAGUUUUACCAUCAUGGAUCAAGGUGAUCAUAUAAAUUACUGCUUUGCUAGGCAUUUGUUUCAGGAGGUGUAUAGAAUGGUGACCUAAAUAAAUGCCCCUGCUGUUGCAGACAGUAAACAAAUAAAUCUAUACUUUCAGUUAUCAAUACUGUGGAGAAACAAAGUGGUUAAAACAGAUAUACUAGACACUGGAGGGGGGGGGAUUGUUCAGUUUUAAGGGUUAUCAGGAAAGGAAUCUCUUAUAAAAUGGUGAAAAUAGAGAAUGGCAUGAAAAUUAUCUGUGGGAAAAAGUGUUCUAGGCAAAGUGAAAAGUAAAUGUGGCCCCACAGAUGUGAGCAUUCAAGGAAAGUAUGUGGUAAGAUGUGAGAUUAAAGAGUUAGCAGAGGGGCCUUAUCUGUAGUGCCUGUGGGCCCAGUAGAAAUUCUCCAUAUUCUGAAUGAAAGGAGAAGCCAUUCAAAUGUUUUUUGAGCCUAAGAAUAAUGCAAACUCAUUGGAAUUUUGAUGGAUUUAUUCUGGCUGUUGUAUGGAGAGGCCUAGGAUUCUGAGGAAGUAGGGAGACUAGAGAAAUUAAAAAAUACCUAGAUCUAGCUACAUGAAGUGACACAAAGCUAUUACUCUAGAAUUCUGAAAAGCUGAGGCAAGAAGAUCACAGUUCAAGCCUAGCCUUUGGGCUUUUUCAAAAGGGUGAGGAAAAAAUAUAACUCAGUGCAGUUUCUGGUUUAGUCUCCAGUACAGGGUGGUGGGGGGAUACAAAGUUUGAUUUUUUCAUAGAUUUUUAAAUUAGAGCUGAGAAUUUGCUAAUGAAUGUGGGGUGUUAUGUCAAAAGUGACUAAAAUUUUGAUCAGUAAAAGCAAUGAAAUUGCCAUUUUCCAAAAUAGAAAAGAUAGAGAGAGAAGCCAGUAUGGGAGAGAGAGGCUCAGUAGUUCCGACUUGGAAAAUAUGGCGCUGAAAGGCAGACAGACAUCCAGGUGGAUGACAGGCAGGCAGGUGGACCCUUGAGUUUGGGAUAACCCUUUUUGACAUUCCAUGUCUGUGUCACCAAAAUGUUUUAAAUUAGACAUUUAUAUUUGUAACUCAUAAGAGUAGAUACCAAACAAUUGUAUGUAAUCUUUUGGAUAAGGUUUUUUUUUUUUUUAAACUAAGUUCCUUUGACAAAAGUUUAAGUUUAGCAAAACUGAAAUUUGCACAGUUACUAACUGGUUCUUUGAGGCUGUUAAUGCAAACUAAGUGGAAAUUUUGUGAAAUAUAUGAGCGAAGUUUUAUCUUUUAAAAAUAAAAUAAAACCUAGGGACUCUCAGAGUUUGGCACUGUGGAAAAAGUUUCAUUUUAGAAUUAUGAAAAAUUUCAACUACAUGAUGUGAAAUGUACUCUUCUUAGUGAUCUUUUCAUCACUUGUCUUAAUGCUUAUUCUGUGUGCUUCCUUUCCUUUCUGUUUGUAUGAAAGCGUAAUUUUGUGAGUUCUUCUGAAGUUUCAGGUGGGAAAUGCAGCAUAAUGGUCAAAAAUAUGAACUUAGACCCAGACUGGCUAGCUCUGGUUUGUGUGUGUGUGUGUGUGUGUGUGUGUGUGUGUGUGUGUGACUUUUUUUGACUUUUGGCCAAUUAUAUUUUGUUGCUGGUUUUCAAUUUCCUCAUCUCUGUAAUGGAGAUGUAAGUUUCUUUUUAUUUUUUGGUCCCAGGGAUUGAACUCACGACCAGGCAGGGGCUUAUGCUGCUUAGCUAAAUCCCUGGUGAUACCAAGUGUCUUACAGAGUUAUGAAGACCAAAUCAAUUAAUAUAUGUAAAACACUUGAAAAAAAUGUCUUGGUCAGGGAUUUAGCUCAGCAGCACAAAUUGCCUGCAUGAGGUUGUGAUUUCGAUCUCUAGUACAAAACAAACAAAACAAAGUCUUGAUGCUGUAUUAAGUGCUGUGGCAUGUAAGAUCUGCAAGAAGAGAAAUCUGUCUCUCUUUUUCAGUGCCAUAUUCCUAGGGUUUAGAACAACAUCUUUUAAACAAUAAAUGUACAGUAGAUAUUUGCUGUUAGUGUAUUAUAUGCAACCCUUUCUUUUAAAUAUUGCUAAACUUUUUUAAAAAGUUGUAUUUUGCAUUUGUACUUGGCCACUUACAGAAGUUGAAUGUAAAUUUAAAUUUUUGUUUUAAAACUAUUGUGUUUCUUUUUUGUGAGGAUGGGGAUCCAAGCCAGAGCGUUGCACCUGCUAAGCAAGUACUGCACCACUAAGAUGGAGAUGUGCUUUAGACUUGUCUGUGUAGGACUCUGGGAUUGAAAGAAAGCCAUGAAUUCAGUCUGAAGAAACAGACUAUACUCUAUUACUUUGCAGUGUUUUUGGAUUGUUGGCUUAAUAUUGUAAAACACAUAGGAGAAGCCUCUAAAAAUGUACUAAUAACUUACAGAAUUCAUAUUUACUAAUAUUUAUAUUAAGAAAACAGGUUUUUAUUGCAUUUUUCUGUUCAUCAACCACAUUCUGGGAGUGAGAACAUGAAUCAGUUGCCUAAAACAAAACUAUAUAGUCAACAUACAGAUGGUGGAUUUUUCAGUCAUACAGGUCUAGAUUUUGUAUACUGUCUGAACUUGUCAUCAAUUGCUAUAGUAAUGCCUUUAGUAAAACACCUUAUAGCUUAGUAGCUUAAAAUAAUCACAGCUUAUUUCUGUAGUCAUAUUUAUUGACCUUCUAUUGGUAGAGAAUAAGCUUGGGUUGAUCUGGGCUAGUCCUUAAUUAGCUUAAAUAUUUUUCCAUUUGUUCCUUCUGGGUGCAAGCUGAAGAAGCAGUGGCUUUACACAUAUCUUUCAUAACAGAUCACCAGAAUGCCAAAGCCAAGCCAAAUUGCAUAAAAUUAGGUAAGGCUUCUGCUCUAUGCAUUAGCCUAAUAGUUAUCAACUGGGAGCUUUUUUGCCUCAUGCGACAGUGACAAUAUUUAAAGAUAUUCUUUGCUGACAAAGUCUGAGAGAGGAGUAUGCAUUACUGGUAGGUGGUGCAAGGAUUUAGCUAAACAUUCUAAAAGUGCAAAGGUCAGUUUAUCACAGUGCAGACUUACCUGGUCCAAUAUAUCAAUGGUGUUGAGUUCGAGAAACCCCACUUUAGCUAUGUUAAGAUACUCCAUCCAUAAUGGGAAGGGGACCAUAAUAAAAGAUUUACUGCAAAAUAACUGAAAUUAUCAGCUGAUUUUAAGUAUGUGUCAGGUUUUGAUUCAUCGCAAAAUUAUCUGGAGAGAGAUAAUGAACAAAUGGAUGGCAUUUGAUCGAAAAGACUCAGUAUGAUUUUUGUGAUUAUGACUAAGGGAAAAAAAUCUGUUCUUAAAGGAGCUCACAGUUUUACAUGAAAGACAAAAGACACUGUAAUAAACCAUGGUCUAUUUUACAGUGCUGUAAUGACCCAUGCAUGAAGAUUGAAGUUGUGUUUAGAUCAUCAAACUAAUAAUUUGGUUAAGUUUUUAAGGGCUUGUUUGAAUUCAUGGAGAUCUUUAAAGUUUAGGCUGGCCUUUUCUACUCACUAUAUGCAGCACUGGGUAACCUUGAACUUGCAGUGAGUGAUACUCUCGCCUGGGAUUGCCGGGAUUGCCGGGAUUGCAGGUGUGCACUACCACUCCUGGCAAUAGCUUUUUUUUUUUUUUUUUUUUUUUUUUCUCUCUCUCUCUUUUUUUUUUUUUUUAUUUAAGGAGAAAAGAAAAAAAAAGUGAAAGGGUACAAGUUAUACAGAUUUACAGAAGAAAAAAAUGAACAGUAGGAAAUCACUAGUUAAUGGAUUACAUAUUGCCAUCUUAGAAAUAAUUGUUCAAGUCACAAAAUUAAAGCUUGUAGAGUGGACAUUCCAACAAUGAUACUGCAAACAGUUCUGUUCAAUGAUCCAAUAAAACUCUGUGAUAUCAUUUUCUAUCUUAUACACUUAAAUAUACAUGCAGUUAUAUAGUUUAGAGCACUUUCUUUUCCUGUCUUUUGUACAAUGACUAUUACACAUUAUUUCGCUGUAUGGGAUUAUGUUGAAGGCCUAUUAGGAAUAUGUUUAAGACUUUGGCUUGAGAUAUACAGAAUUUCUUAGAAUGACAGUAGAUAUUCCAGAAAGUUUCAAGGUAGUCUGAAACUGGUACAGUUUCGUUGGAUUGUGUUUUUCCAAAGUUUCAUGAGCUUCAAAAUGAGCUUUUUCAAAAAAGUCUUAAAGCUACAGGCACUUUCUUUUAAUAUAAUGUACUAUAAUAUUUAAAGAGGACUGCUAUUCAGAAGAACAAUAAAAUGAUGAAGUUAUUUUGGGGGAACAGUUACUUCUAAAAGCAGUUUGUUUCAUUUGAGCUACAAAAUUUGUCUGUGAUUCAUUUUCUCCUAAAAGUUUUCUUUUUUUAUGUCUACUAUGUUUAAAGUAUUGCUACAGAGCACUUACUGAGUAUCUCACUUCGUGUCUCUACAAUCUCACUGACAAAGGCAUUGUAAUGUAAAAAUUGAGAAGACCCUAAUGGUUGCUUCUCAGUUCCUAGUAAGCUGGGUCUGGUGGAUAUCAAGGAAAGGAAAGCUGUUGGUCUGCUGUGUGAUUAUCUGGGGAGAAUUAUGUCUCUUGAACUUGUUGAACUUGCCACAAGCAGUUUGUAAACAGAAUCUUCCUUAUCCUAACUCUUUCUUCCCUAAAAUUAGCAAGUAUAAAGGACUUUGAAACAGUCAAAGGUUAUUCCAUUUGUCUCUACCACCCAUGUUGAGUUUUUAAAUCUGAUAUGCUUGGAAUCAGACAUAAUUAAGAUUUUAAGUUUUUUCCCAUAUUUUUGAAUAUUUACAUAUACCUAAUAUCUUGCAGUAAGACCCAUGUGUGAACAUGAAAUUCAUUUGUUUCAGGUACACACGACAUACUCAGUCUGAAUUUAGUGGGCCUUUUGAGUGCAGUCUAUCUAAAUAGAUCAGGUGUGGAGUUUUUCCCUAGGCACAAAAAUUUGGGGAUUUUGAACCCUUCUGGCCUUUUCAAUUUACAGGAUGCUUAACCUGUAGAAGAUAACCUAAAUUUGUUUUCCAAGGAAAUAAAGUCAUUUGUACAUUCCUUUGAUGCCAGUUUCUGCAGAAAUCUUCCUCAGUUAAAAACAAAACACCUGCCUUUAUGGUUCAUUAGAGACACUGAAAUUGAACUUUUCAGAAACUACUUUUGCAACUAAAUGUGGUCAAUUUUGGAAAACAUAUUUUAUCUCAAUUAGCCCAGGCACUUACAACAAAGUAGCUGAUAAAUGGAUCAAGAACUUUCUAAAAUCUAGUUUUGAUUACCAUAGAAUAUUGAUUCCCAAGAUUCAGAAGCAGUAUGAUCAGUAAAUAACCUGCCUGUUGUGAAGUGUAAACAUUUCUUUAUUUCAUGUUGACACAAUUUUUGGUAAAGAAUUUGUUGAGUUUAAAAUUCAUGCUGUACUGUUUGGAUUAAAGGAUAACAAGUCCCUAAGCUCUCAAUCCCUAGCAAUAAAAAAGAAAGGAAGGAAUGGAGGGAAUGAGGGGAGGAGGAGAGAGAAGGAAGAUGGCGGGAGGGAACAAGAGUCUAAUGUUAUUUUAUUUUAUAAAUGUAUGUGUUCUUUACCAAGGGUAAUGGCAGGGUAUGUGGAAAGACAUAGUCUUUGCUCUUGGUGGGAUGAGCCAUAGCCCAUAUAUGUUACACUGAGGACCUGAAAUAGGGCAGUAGCAGUUGAAGUGAAUAGAGCAGAUUGUAUAGUAAAAGUCGUAAGAUUUUUUUUUUGUCUAGUACAUGUGAAAGCAAAAAAUGAGGGAAGGUCUUUGUUUUAUAAUAGAGGAUUUUGUUUUAUUAAAUAAACAAGGAAUAUGAGAAGAAGGAAAAAAGAGCUGAUAAACUUACUUUGUUAAUAGGAUUUAAUAAGUAAAAGAAACUCUUAAGGUGAGUUGUUCAUAACAUUAUGCAACAAUGAACAGAGAAGUUUAGGACUAAAAUAGUGCCUCUCAUAAAAACCUCAUUCUUAGAGUUGCGUAAAUACUUUUGGAACAUUAUUGGAAAGUGAUAGUAUUUCUGUAGCAAUACUUAAGAUGUCAGCCAUAAGUGCCUUUUUGAUCUAUGAUUAGAAAUACUCAUUUCAUCUGUUAUACUCAUCUUUAGGGUCAGAGGUGACACAAGCUUAGUCUUUAUUCACAAAUAAUUGCAUCCUCUUUCUUUUUUGGUGUUGUAUGUAUUUGUCAUUGAAGUUUGCUGAGAGAACAUCACAUAGCAUCACGUAUUUAUGUAGUUAAAGUAAGAAGUACUUUAAAAGUAAAGUAAGAAAAACCGUAUGAUGGUUAAACCAGUGAUUCAAUGACUCAGUAAGACAUGGAAAUACAGAAAGGAGAAGAUGUAGUUGUCUAAAGUGGUAAAGUUAUAUGAUUGUGAUGUAUGUGGGCAAGAAAUUGUGAUGACAUAGUUUGACUCAUUUUGAAAGUAAACUUUAAUCUGAAGAGGGUUUUUAUAAAUUAAUAUGAACAUUUUGGAUGAUUAUUAAUGAGAUCACUAAAUACGAAUUUGUAGAAUUCAUCAGGGUAUAUGUGUAAGCUAUUUCCAACAUAGACAUUGUAUUAAAUGUCUGAACUCUAGUUUGGCUGAGGUGUCCUGGGAUUUGGGUUGGUGUGUAAUCUCUAGUCUAUUAAAAAUAAGUGACAGCAAUAACACACAGUAGAAUUCAGUGACCUAGUGCAUAUAAUGUGCCCAGCAUAGAAAUUGACUCAUGUUUGAAUACUUAUAAUCUGAGAUAUGUUGAAUGACACAGUGCUUACACUGAUGAUUGUUUAAUAUUGAAAUGGAGAAUGAAAAUAAUAAUAAUAAUCUUGUUUCUAAUUUUAACUUUGUUCUUUGAAAUAGAAUAAGGAUCAGCCAAGUUUAUUGAGAAAUUACUGAUUUUAUGAGUUUCUGUGCUGUGUAUGAUUUAUUAAGUUCCCCAACUUUAUUGAGGUAGUACUGAGAUAAAAUUGUGUAUGUUAAAGAUAUAACAUGAUAAUUUGUGAAAUGAUUGCCAUUCCCAACUGUAGUGAAGGGUUCCUCCUUUCCAUAUCCUUGGCAACAUUAUUUUGUUUUUGAUAGUAGUUGUCCUUGAAGGUUUGAAGUGGUAUCUGAAUUAUAGUUUUGAUUUGAGUUUUUUCAGUGUUUUGUGAUGGUUAAUCAUUUUUUGAUACACUGUUGGAAAUUUACAUUCUUUGGAAAAAAUGUCUUGUUCUUUUAAUUUUUUAAAAAAAGUUAAAAAUUUUGCUGCUGAUUUGUUUUGAGUUGAGUUCAUGUCAUGAUACAUUCUGGAUAUCAACUCUUUAAUCAGUUAUAGGCUGCAAAGAUUUUCUUGUAGUUUGUGGGUUGCACUUCAUUUUGUUGAUUGUUUCCUUUGUAGUGUGAUGCAGACCACUUGUGUAUUUCUGCUUUAUUGCCUGUGUUUUGUUUAUUUAAAAAUUCAUUGUCAAGACCAAUGUCAAACAGCUUUUGAAACUCUUUUCUAUCUAACUAAAAGUUACAUGGUUUCAGGUCAUACAUUUGAAGUCUUUAAUCUGGAUUGACUUAAAUUUUAAUUAACCAGUGUUAUUCUUAAAUCCAGUAUUCUAAGGUGGGGAUUGUGAGUUUCUGAUUAGAUACCACUACACCAAUAAAGUUAGGUAUUUACUCUUGAUGCCCCUGACAGAAUUUGUUGAUCAUGUAUGCAUGCCUGUGUUUAUUUUUGGGUUUCUGUUGUACUCACUUGGUCUAUGUAUAUGUUUUAAUACCAGCCAUAUUGUUUUUGUUACUGCAUUUUUGUGGUGUAGUUUGAAAUCAUUCACUGUGGUGCCUUUAGUUUUUCUUUUUUCUUAAGAUUGUUUUAGCUAGGAUAUUUUGCUUUUCUGUUUAUGUGAAAAAUGUCGUUGAAAUUUUGAAUUGAGAUUACGUUGAAUUUAUGGAUUGCAUUGAAUAGUAUGGGAGUUGAGUGGAGUGGAAUAUUUGCAUAGACUUUAUUGGUUGCUGUUUCCUAAUCAGAUGUGUUGUAAAAUCUAAAAAUUUUUGAAUGUCAUGUUGGAAUUUGUUUUUUUGCUAGGGAUGCUUAGUCUGUGUGUGACUACUAUGCAGAUAGUUAAUGUAUUGGAAUCUCCUUGUGUUGUAUGUUGUAUGAAGCACUGUGGAAUUAAAACAAAAAUCAGGACUGGUUCAUGCCUUCAGGAAAAUAACUUUCAAGAGCCAUGUAGAUCAUUGUAAAGCAUGUGAGAGAGGAGUGGAAAAUACUCCAUAAUUUCUUUGAUGAAGAGGGGAAAUGUGCCUCUAGGAAUUAAACUAAACACACAAGGAAAUUGCAGAAGGAAUACUUGGGACUCAUAUUGUGGGAUGAGGAUUUUGUCUUGUUUGGUGGAAAGGAGAAAAUAUGUUUCUGGAAAAAGAAUUAAAAAUACCUGCUAUUUUUAUAGAAUACAGUAGUAUCUCAGUUCCUGAGCUUAAUUCUUUCCACGAUAUUGAUUGCAAACCUAAUUGGACAAGAACCAAAUCAGAUUUCUUUAUAAGGACAACUUUGAACCUAUUUAAUUUGAUUUGGUUCUUUUUCAGAAUCAUGGAAUGAACUAAGUUCAUGAACCAAAAUACCACCCUAGUGAGUUUUAUAAUGGCUUGACAAAGGGGUAUUAUGAUAAGAAAAGUAUAGUUGGAAAGUGCUUUGGGAUUUUUCAAAAGUCUUUAUGUAAAAAGGUUUUCAGCCAUAUACUACCACAGAUAUUGUUAUCUUCUUAUGUUACAAAACUGUUGACAUUCAUGUUUUUUUUAAACUUGGUUAAAUAAUUUUUUUCCCAGUUUUUAUUUAGUGUCGACAAAUAUAAUUAUCUGUCUUACUCAACCGAGUUCGUUUUGAGUGGUAUCAACCUGUUACGUAUUUAAUAUCUUUUUUUUUUUUUUUUUUUGGGUCUUUUUAUCGGUACCCGGGAUCGAACUCAUGACUGCCUGCUUGCAAGGCAGGCCCUUAUGCCAUUGAGCUAAAUCCCCAGCCCCAUAUUUAAUAUCGUUUUAUUUAUUUAUUUAUUUAUUUUGUCUUUUUCUUUUUCGAUACUGGGGAUCGAACUCACGACUGCCUGCUUGCAAGGCAGGAGCUUAUGCCACUGAGCUAAAUCCUCAGCCCCCAUAUUUAAUAUCUUUACUAAAAGAAAACUUGAUAUAAUUUAGGAUACCUUAUUCACGUGGCACAAUUUUAGGUUUUGUUUAUAACUCCAUGCAAUUUUUUUUUUUUUUUUUUGGUACCAGGGAUAAAAUUUACAACCUCAUGUUUGCCAGGCAAGAGCAUAAACCACUGAGCUAAAUCCCCAGCCCCAUGCUAAUUUCUUUGUUGCAAAUAGUGUUCCUGCCUUUACUUACCUUUACUUACAUAGUUUUGUGAGAAACUUUUUCUUAUAUAGCACUUACAAUUUAUGUACCAAAACCCCAAAUGUUUUAAAAGGGCUAAAUACAAAAGAUUUUUUGAAAUGGGAUCCUGUAGUAACUGUGCAACAUGAAGUUGUUAUUUCUGAAGGAAAUAAACACAAAUAGUCACUUGUAUUGACUAGAUUAAAGGUUGUCCGUUUUUUUGGGUCACGUACUAAGUGAAAGGCUUCAUUAAACACACACUUCGGUGUGUUUAAUAUAUACUGUAAUAUUUAUGUGACAUAAACUUUGUAAAAUAUGUAACUAAAAUCAAGCUAGAAAUAAUAGACUAAGUUUAAAAGUAGAUCAUCAGUCUCAUUUAAAGAUCAUUCCAAAAAAGUGCAUAUUCCUUAAUAAUUUUUUUAAUUCCAAAAUUUUAAGCAGAGAGUAUUCAGUUUAUAAGUGUCUUACUGAGGUGCAUUUGGAAGUCCACUUUUUAUUCUUGAUUUUGAUACUGUGUCACAGGAGGUUUAAUCUUUAAUUGUAGAAUUCUUGAAAGGUUAAUGGAAAGAUUUAUUUUUCAUAAAUUACGUUUUACCACUGGAGAAAGCUAUCACUUCUAUUAAAAAUGUCAUAGGCAGCAGUGAGUAAUACUAGACAUGAUUGCUGUUAAACCCUUUGGAAAUUAACAUGCCACUUGGCAGAAAUAUAAUUGGUGAGCUGCAGAAAGGUCUGGACUUAAAUAGGAGGGGUUAAUGAAUGUCUUUUUUCUGUCCUUCCUUUCUUUCUUUCUUCCUUUUUCUUCUUUUGGCUUUUAAAAUUGCACUUAGCUCUGGCUGUUUGAAAUGAUUUUCUUUGAAAGUGUUGUGACAUUGUUUUAAUUGAAUAAAGCUGCAGAACUGGCAUGAUGAAUCAACAUAGAAUGAAUUUUAAUGCAAGGCAAAGGAUAUUAACUUGGAAAUUGGUUGCAGAAGACAAAGUAGCUGCUAUGAUUAAUUGUUUUUUUAUUCUGUCCUUACUAUAUUUUGAGAAGGAUGACCUUGGCAUUUCCGAUUGCAUUAGAAUCCAGUGGUAUGCACUUUAGCAUACUUAAAUUGUUUGUUGUUUCUUGGGCAGUAGCAGUUGGUUUUUAAGAUUAAGAAAAUUUCAUAUUUUGGUUUUGUCUACUUUAAAAACAUUUUUAAUUAAUAAAUAAUAAUUGUAAGAAUUAAUUAGCUGUGGUAGAAGUAGUCUCCAUGUAAUGUUGAUGCUGUGAUUUCAGCAGCAGAGGUUUAAUAUGUGAAAAGAGCAAGAUGUGCCAAAGAGGGCCUCUGAGUGGUCAUAAAGUGUAAACCAACUGGUUUUAUAAUUUGGGAGAAAACUAUCACUUUCUGUUAAAAAUAUUAUCACAAGCAGCAGUGAGUAGCACUAGACAUGAUCAUUGUUAAAUGCUUUGGAGAUUAGCGUGGCACUUGACAAUAGAUGCGGGUCAAAAUCAGUUGCAUAUAUUCAGUGACUAAAGUAUCUUUUACAGUGCAUUUUCCAGGUCCUUUUGGAGGCAACAUAUUUUAAAUAUUUGAUGUUAUGUCUAGCAUAUGAGUUGAUUUGGAAAGCAGUUUGUAUAGAGUAUCAAUAUUAUUGAAGAGUAUCUGGUAGACUUGCUUAAGAAAUAGUUAGAUACAGGCAAGCAAAUAGAAGGGAAGCAUUUUCACAUAUUCUCAAGACCAGGGAGAGUUUUUGUUUUAAAUUCCUGACAAGUAUUUCAUUCCUUACCACCAAGCCUUGAAUAAAUGUUUUGAGUUGAAUUUAAAAAUGAAAGGCUAUUCAUUCUCCAUUUCACUGAAAGAUAGGAAAGCUAAACAAAAUACAUAGUAAUAUACAGAGAUUGUCUGUCUCCAGGUUGAUUUGGGGGAACUGGUAGAGAAGUUUUAAAGAGCCCCAGACUAUAUAAACAAGCUAGAUUAAGAAGUUUUAGAAAAGCUUGGCGAUGUUACUGAAGAUGAGCUUGGGACCAGGCACAAUGAGAUUUUUUUGCCUUCCCUUCAGGCCUUCCUUCCAGUACCUAUGUGCAGUCUGAAGCUGUGUUAAUGCUCUGUUUAGAUUAAAAGACAGCUUCUUAAAAAGUGCCAGUGAAUUUUGUGUCAUUUAGGACAAUAAUUUGGGCCAACUGAGUACAUCUAGUGAAAUAGGACAUAAUGCUGUUACCCAGACCCCACAAGAAUGUAUCAGAUAACUAAUUUAGGAUUCUUGAGAAGUUAGAUAAUCAAAGAUGUGAGCUUGAUUUUUGGAAUGUCUUUUUCCUUUUUGAUAUGUUUGUUGAAUCCCGAGAGGCUAGAUGAUCAUAAGCUUUGGACAACAGAAAUUGUACUCUAUAAUCUAUAGACUGCCCCUCUUUCCAUGCUUUACAAAAUUUAAGUAGGAUCACUGAUGUGUAUGUACUGCAGGAGUAAUUUUCUACCCAGAAUGUCCCUAAUCCUAACAGAACUGCCUUGACCAAAAAUUGUCUUAAUGAGUGAAAUAGUAUUGAGGUUGUCUUUGGUUGCUAAUAACUAACCAUAGAUGUGUGGCAGAAGCUAACGUAUAUCUUCUCUGGAGGAAGGUAAAAUAUCUUAACCCUUAAUGUAUUUCUGUAAGUCAUUUAUUAACUAUAUUGUCUUGCACACACUAUAGUACAACUGUUCAGGGACACAGGAUGACAUUUACAAAGACUGAAGAAAUAAAAAAGAGCUCCAUGGAAACUAUAGAUACUAGGAUUAUCAUAUUUACAUUUUGUAACUUUAUGGAGACAAAAGACAGCAAAGGUGUGGAAAUUAUAAGAAAGAUUAUCAGUUCCAACAGUUGGAUUUGACAGAUUUAGAAUAUUUGAAGAAAAUUAGUGAACUAGAAUAUAGUUCAUAAGAAAAAUCCUUAAGUGUCAAGAGGCAUAGGGAUGGAAAACCCAGUAGAGACAAAGAGUAAAGUAAAUAUGGUAUGCAAAUAUGUUCACAGCACUAAAAAGAGUGGUAAAAUAGGACAGAAGUGGAGUUUGAUGUAUGUGGUUGAGAUAUUUAAAAAUUAAGAGCAUCAAAGUCAUUAACUGCACCCUAGUAUUGGUAACUGAAGAAAAUCACACCUGGGCACAUUGUAUUUAAAAACUGAAAGCUAGCAAAGAAAAGGGAAUCUUAAAAGCAAACAGAAACAAGAAAAGAUUGCUUUUCUAGGAGCAGUAGUAAAACUCACAGCUCACUUCUCAGAAGUAAUAGUAGAAUCUGGAAGAUGGCAUCUUUAAGGUGGUGCAGGAAAAUGAUCAUUGAGCUAGAUUUCCCUGGCCACUGAAAAUCCGACAUUUUCGUAUCAGGAAACACUAAAGAAUAUCUUUCUGGUAGAAGAAAAAUUUUCUAGUUACCUAGAAAAUUGAGCAUGCAAAUAAGAUAUAGAAAUGGUAGAUAUGUUGGUUACUUUAAAUGCAUUUUAUUUGUAUGAAGUGUUAAUAUCCUAUUGAGUAAAAAAUAAGGCAGCAUUUGAAAAAUAAGGACAUAUAAAUCAGAUUGGGGAUAAAUGAGUUAUGAGGUCUAUAGAAAAUGAGUAAAAGUACAAAUUAAUGUUUUAAAGCGUGUUUUAACUUAUGGGUAAACAAAUGUGACUUUCAAGAUACAAUAGAAAGGAGAUAAGAAAACACACUUGUGUGUCAACCCCCCCAACAAACACACAGACACACACACACACACACACACACACACACACACACACACGUCAAGAAUGUAAAAGAUGUCAAGAAAGUAAAAGAACAUAAAAGAAUUAAGACAUAUAGAAAUAUAAAUGGACUAAUACAAAUUUCAAAGUUUGACAGGUUGAAUAAAAAAAUGAAAUUCAUUUAGUUGCUUUAAAAUAUAUAGAUAAAAAAUAGAAAAUAAUAAGUAACCAAAUAGAUACAAUAAAACAUCAAAAAUUUAUAUUUCCAUAUUAAUAUUUUAAUACAUAAAGAUAAAAGUCAUUACUGAAAAUAAAGAGGGCCAUUUUAUAAUGGAAGAAAGAUAACAUUUUUCAUUUGUACAUGUAAAAUAACAUAACUCUCUAAACAUAUAAAGUAAAAAUAGAAAUGAAAGGACAAAUGAUACUUGUAGAGUGCUUGUCUAAAAUGAAGAAGACACUAGUUGGGCCCCUAGUAUUGCAGAAACAGCUGACUUAAUCAUUGUUAGUUUGCAUUCUUUUCAAGUACCCACAGAAAAUUUAUGAAAAUUGGUUAUAUCUUGGGCUAAUCUGAAAAGUAUUAAAGGACUAAUAUUUUAGAUACUAUAUUUUCUGAUUACAGUGUAGAAAACUAGAAGUUGAAAUUAAUAUUCUUAUAGAAGUUGAAAUUAACAUUCUUAUUCUUGAAGUGAGAAAAAUAAAUUUAAAUACCCAGUAGCAUCUAAUUAUUUUUACCUGAAUUGUAAUGAAAAUGCUGCCCUUCAAAACUUGUGGGGUAUAGCUAAAAAUUGUACAGAUAUAUGUAUUAUGUCUUUAAAUGUAUAUUGUGUUUUAAAAAGGAUACAGUAAACCAUCCACUUCAAAAAAGUUGGAAAAACAGUCAGAUUAAACCUGAAGAAAGUAAAAGGAAUAAAAGGCAGCUAUGAAUCAAUACAAAUGAAUGUAAGCUCAAGAGAAUGGUAUAAGUAAGGACAGACAACUAAUCAGGAGUGAAACAUGGGCAUCACUACAAAUCUUACAGAUACUAAAAAGAAAAGGAGUCAAACUAAGUAAAAAAAUUUGAAAAUUUUGAUGGUAUGGACAUUUUUCUAGGUAGACACAGUGUAUCAAAUGGACGAUACCAGGGCUGGGGAUUUCGCUCAGUGGCAUAAGAGUUUGAUCCCUGGUACCAGUUUAAAAAAAAAAAAAAUUGAUCAUACCAAGGAAUAGAAAAUUAUGCCUUAUACUGAUUCCAUAUUUAAAAUUUUCCACACAGGAACUCUGGGGCUGGAUGGCAUUCCAGCACAUUUACUCAAUACUAAUAAAUAAAACCAGUUGUAUGCCAGCUCAUUUAAGAGUAGAAAAAGAGGGACUACAUACUGUUUUGAAAACAAUACCUUUGUUGAGAAUAGUGUUAUGAGAGAGGGAAAUUGUAGGCCAGCUUUACUAAUCAACGUACA